GUGGGGAAUAUUGCGCAAUGGGGGAAACCCUGACGCAGCAACGCCGCGUGGAGGAUGAAGGCUCUCGGGUCGUAAACUCCUGUCAGGUGGGAAGAAAAGGUUUCGGUUAAUACCCGGAGCUGUUGACGGUACCACCAGAGGAAGGUCCGGCUAACUCCGUGCCAGCAGCCGCGGUAAUACGGAGGGACCGAACGUUAUUCGGAAUCAUUGGGCGUAAAGGGCGCGUAGGCGGCUUAGAAAGUCAAAGGUGAAAUCCCUCGGCCCAACCGAGGAACUGCCUUUGAAACUGCUUGGCUUGAGGCCGGGAGAGGGUAGCGGAAUUCCCAGUGUAGCGGUGAAAUGCGUAGAUAUUGGGAGGAACACCAGUGGCGAAGGCGGCUACCUGGACCGGUUCUGACGCUGAUGUGCGAAAGCGUGGGGAGCAAACAGG
rnacentral:rRNA from 1 species